CCUACGGGGGGCAGCAGUGGGGAAUAUUGGGCAAUGGGUGCAAGCCUGACCCAGCAACGCCGCGUGAAGGAAGAAGGCUUUCGGGUUGUAAACUUCUUUUGACAGGGAAGAGUAGAAGACGGUACCUGUCGAAUAAGCCACGGCUAACUACGUGCCAGCAGCCGCGGUAAUACGUAGGUGGCAAGCGUUGUCCGGAUUUACUGGGUGUAAAGGGCGUGUAGCCGGGUUGACAAGUCAGAUGUGAAAUCCUGCGGCUUAACCGCAGAACUGCAUUUGAAACUGUUGAUCUUGAGUACUGGAGAGGCAGACGGAAUUCCUAGUGUAGCGGUGAAAUGCGUAGAUAUUAGGAAGAACACCAGUGGCGAAGGCAGUCUGCUGGACAGCAACUGACGGUGAGGCGCGAAAGCGUGGGGAGCAAACAGGAUUAGAUACCCGAGUAGUC
rnacentral:rRNA from 1 species